UAACGCGUGGGAGCCUGCCCUGGACACRCGGAUAACAUACCGAAAGGUAUGCUAAUACGAGAUAAAAUACUUUUAUCGCAUGGUAGAAGUAUCAAAGCUUUUGCGGUACAGGAUGGACCCGCGUCUGAUUAGCUAGUUGGUAAGGUAACGGCUUACCAAGGCGACGAUCAGUAGCCGACCUGAGAGGGUGAUCGGCCACAUUGGAACUGAGACACGGUCCAAACUCCUACGGGAGGCAGCAGUGGGGAAUAUUGCACAAUGGGCGAAAGCCUGAUGCAGCAACGCCGCGUGAGCGAUGAAGGCCUUCGGGUCGUAAAGCUCUGUCCUCAAGGAAGAUAAUGACGGUACUUGAGGAGGAAGCCCCGGCUAACUACGUGCCAGCAGCCGCGGUAAUACGUAGGGGGCUAGCGUUAUCCGGAAUUACUGGGCGUAAAGGGUGCGUAGGUGGUUUCUUAAGUCAGAGGUGAAAGGCUACGGCUCAACCGUAGUAAGCCUUUGAAACUGGGGAACUUGAGUGCAGGAGAGGAGAGUGGAAUUCCUAGUGUAGCGGUGAAAUGCGUAGAUAUUAGGAGGAACACCAGUUGCGAAGGCGGCUCUCUGGACUGUAACUGACACUGAGGCACGAAAGCGUGGGGAGCAAACAGGAUUAGAUACCCUGGUAGU
rnacentral:rRNA from 1 species